GACGAACGCUGGCGGCGUGCUUAACACAUGCAAGUCGAACGGAAAGGCCCCUUUGGUGGUACUCGAGUGGCGAACGGGUGCGUAACACGUGAGUAACCUUCCCUUGACUUCGGGAUAACUUCAGGAAACUGGGGCUAAUACCGGAUAGGAAUCCUUGCUGCAUGGUGGGGGUUGGAAAGCUUCGGCGGUUUUGGAUGGACUCGCGGCUUAUCAGCUUGUUGGUGGGGUAGUGGCUUACCAAGGCUUUGACGGGUAGCCGGCCUGAGAGGGCGACCGGCCACAUUGGGACUGAGAUACGGCCCAGACUCCUACGGGAGGCAGCAGUGGGGAAUAUUGCACAAUGGGCGGAAGCCUGAUGAAGCAACGCCGCGUGCGGGAUGACGGCCUUCGGGUUGUAAACCGCUUUCAGCAGGGGCGAAGCUUGUGGUGACGGUACCUGCAGAAGAAGCACCGGCUAACUACGUG
rnacentral:rRNA from 1 species